rnacentral:rRNA from 1 species
CCUACGGGAGGCUGCAGUGGGGAAUAUUGGACAAUGGGCGAAAGCCUGAUCCAGCCAUGCCGCGUGUGUGAAGAAGGCCUUCGGGUUGUAAAGCACUUUCAGUGGGGAAGAAAGCCUUGGGGCUAAUACCCUCGAGGAAGGACAUCACCCACAGAAGAAGCACCGGCUAACUCCGUGCCAGCAGCCGCGGUAAUACGGAGGGUGGCGCGUUAAUCGGAAUUACUGGGCGGAAAGCGCGCGUAGGCGGUCUGAUAAGCCGGUUGUGAAAGCCCCGGGCUCAACCUGGGAACGGCAUCCGGAACUGUCAGGCUAGAGUGCAGGAGAGGAAGGUAGAAUUCCCGGUGUAGCGGUGAAAUGCGUAGAGAUCGGGAGGAAUACCAGUGGCGAAGGCGGCCUUCUGGACUGACACUGACGCUGAGGUGCGAAAGCGUGGGUAGCAAACAGGAUUAGAUACCCGAGUAGUC